UCCCCUUUUUCUAGCGGCCUGUGCGCCGCCGCCGCCGCCGCCGCCACUGUCAUUCCAACCUCGAGCCACAUCGUCCCCCUCUCGCCCGAGCGACAAAGGCACCCCCGGCAGCGGGUACACGUCGGACACGCACGAGGAGCCGGCCGACCGCAAGAACAAGAUGGCGAUGAGGAUGAGUCGCCGCCGCUGAAGUAGACCCCAAACCAGUGGGUCUCCUUCUGCGUCGACAACUCGCUGAGCAAUCGCGUCAUCGAGUAGGCGAGCAGCAUCGACAGCGAGAACCUCCGCAAUCCGCAUCGCCGACGAGGAGGACGACGGUGUUGACAACCAGAUCAUGGACUUUGCAGUUGCCGACUGCGUGGCCCGCGCGCCUUCCAUUGAGGCCGGGGAGGCAUCGGGUAAUAAGGGCCAAGGACAAGCGUUGCACAACGGCGGACGACGUCGCCCAGGCGCCAGGCCAACAGCAUCGUCCAGUCCGGCAACGGCUUCUCCCCCGUGGCACACAUCUCCAGGAUGGGCCUUAAGGUCGUGUCAAUGAUAGCGCCCUUCUCCAACCUCUGUGCAGUCAACAUCUCCGGCAACUUCAUGGGUAAGCAAGCACUGCCGCUGCCGGUCAGUAAGAUCGACAGAACAUUGUCAAUUGCUACUGCACCAAACAAUAGUACUUUCAGUAUCCCUUGACGGCUUCUUCUCCAAACAAGGUGGUGUAUGAAGUUGCUAAUGAAGGGCCACGACCUGAAAUUCCCGAAGGGACUCUUUGCAACUUAAUUGCGGGUGAUGUUACUUUGUGAUGUGAUGUUCUGUUUUCCAGAUUUCGGGUGGAAUAAGUGUAGACUCACGUCAGCUUAUUCUGAUCUUUAGUUUCAGUUUAGGGAUAAUUGUUUUGUUUAUUACCUAUUGCUUGGCAAAGCCCCAUGAUCAGCCAAGCCUGCAGUAGAUCCUUGCUUGCUCCAUUGCGGAUACGCUGUAUAUGUAUGAUAUUUCCACCAGAUAGUCAAGGAUAUGUGCAAGUCAGCAAAGUGGCAGUUCAGUCA